rnacentral:rRNA from 1 species
AGAGUUUGAUCAUGGCUCAGAUUGAACGCUGGCGGCAUGCCUUACACAUGCAAGUCGAACGGUAACAGGUCUUCGGAUGCUGACGAGUGGCGAACGGGUGAGUAAUACAUCGGAACGUGCCCGAUCGUGGGGGAUAACGAGGCGAAAGCUUUGCUAAUACCGCAUACGAUCUACGGAUGAAAGCGGGGGAUCUUCGGACCUCGCGCGGACGGAGCGGCCGAUGGCAGAUUAGGUAGUUGGUGGGAUAAAAGCUUACCAAGCCGACGAUCUGUAGCUGGUCUGAGAGGAUGAUCAGCCACACUGGGACUGAGACACGGCCCAGACUCCUACGGGAGGCAGCAGUGGGGAAUUUUGGACAAUGGGCGAAAGCCUGAUCCAGCCAUGCCGCGUGCAGGAUGAAGGCCUUCGGGUUGUAAACUGCUUUUGUACGGAACGAAAAGCCUCUUUCUAAUAAAGAGGGGUCAUGACGGUACCGUAAGAAUAAGCACCGGCUAACUACGUGCCAGCAGCCGCGGUAAUACGUAGGGUGCAAGCGUUAAUCGGAAUUACUGGGCGUAAAGCGUGCGCAGGCGGUUUUGUAAGACAGAGGUGAAAUCCCCGGGCUCAACCUGGGAACUGCCUUUGUGACUGCAAGGCUGGAGUGCGGCAGAGGGGGAUGGAAUUCCGCGUGUAGCAGUGAAAUGCGUAGAUAUGCGGAGGAACACCGAUGGCGAAGGCAAUCCCCUGGGCCUGCAYUGACGCUCAUGCACGAAAGCGUGGGGAGCAAACAGGAUUAGAUACCCCGGUA